rnacentral:rRNA from 1 species
UACGGGGGGGGCAAGCGUUGUUCGGAAUUACUGGGCGUAAAGGGCUCGUAGGUGGCCAACUAAGUCAGACGUGAAAUCCCUCAGCUUAACUGGGGAACUGCGUCUGAUACUGGAUGGCUUGAGUUUGGGAGAGGGAUGCGGAAUUCCAGGUGUAGCGGUGAAAUGCGUAGAUAUCUGGAGGAACACCGGUGGCGAAGGCGGCAUCCUGUACCAACACUGACACUGAGGAGCGAAAGCCAGGGGAGCAAACGGG